AUUGAACGCUGGCGGCAGGCCUAACACAUGCAAGUCGAGCGGUAGAGAGGUGCUUGCAUCUCUUGAGAGCGGCGGACGGGUGAGUAAUGCCUAGGAAUCUGCCUAGUGGUGGGGGGAUAACGUUCGGAAACGGACGCUAAUACCGCAUACGUCCUACGGGAGAAAGCGGGGGAUCUUCGGACCUCGCGCCAUUAGAUGAGCCUAGGUCGGAUUAGCUAGUUGGUGAGGUAAUGGCUCACCAAGGCGACGAUCCGUAACUGGUCUGAGAGGAUGAUCAGUCACACUGGAACUGAGACACGGUCCAGACUCCUACGGGAGGCAGCAGUGGGGAAUAUUGGACAAUGGGCGAAAGCCUGAUCCAGCCAUGCCGCGUGUGUGAAGAAGGUCUUCGGAUUGUAAAGCACUUUAAGUUGGGAGGAAGGGUAGUAACCUAAUACGUUGCUACUUUGACGUUACCGACAGAAUAAGCACCGGCUAACUUCGUG
rnacentral:rRNA from 1 species